rnacentral:rRNA from 1 species
UACGUAGGGGGCAAGCGUUAUCCGGAUUUACUGGGUGUAAAGGGAGCGUAGACGGCAUGGCAGGCCAGAUGUGAAAUACCGGGGCUCAACCCCGGGACUGCAUUUGGAACUGUUAAGCUGGAGUGUCGGAGAGGCAGGCGGAAUUCCUAGUGUAGCGGUGAAAUGCGUAGAUAUUAGGAGGAACACCAGUGGCGAAGGCGGCCUGCUGGACGAUAACUGACGUUGAGGCUCGAAAGCGUGGGGAGCAAACAGG